CCUACGGGGGGCAGCAGUGAGGAAUAUUGGUCAAUGGACGAGAGUCUGAACCAGCCAAGUAGCGUGAAGGAUGACUGCCCUAUGGGUUGUAAACUUCUUUUAUAUGGGAAUAAAAUGUUCCACGUGUGGCAUUUUGUAUGUUCCAUAUGAAUAAGGAUCGGCCAACCCCGUGCCAGCCGCCGCGGUAAUUGGGAGGAUUCGAGCGUUAUCCGGAUUUAUUGGGUUUAAAGGGAGCGUAGGUGGGUUGUUAAGUCAGUUGUGAAAGUUUGCGGCUCAACCGUAAACGUGCAGUUGAAACUGGCAGUCUUGAGUACGGUAGAGGUGGGCGGAAUUCGUGGUGUAGCGGUGAAAUGCUUAGAUAUCACGAAGAACUCCGAUUGCGAAGGCAGCUCACUGGACUGCAACUGACACUGAGGCUCGAAAGUGUGGGUAUCAAACAGGAUUAGAUACCCUAGUAGUC
rnacentral:rRNA from 1 species